rnacentral:tRNA from 1 species
GCCUCCGUGGUUCAGUGGUUAGCGCAACUGACUACGGAUCUAGAGGUACCGGGUUCGAGUCCCGGCCGUAGGGCG